rnacentral:rRNA from 1 species
AGAGUUUGAUCCUGGCUCAGGAUGAACGCUGGCGGCGUGCUUAACACAUGCAAGUCGAACGAAGCACUUUGACAUUUUCGGAUUGAUGAGUGACUGAGUGGCGGACGGGUGAGUAACGCGUGGGUAACCUGCCUCAUACAGGGGGAUAACAGUUAGAAAUGACUGCUAAUACCGCAUAAGCGCACGAUACCGCAUGGUAUUGUGUGAAAAACUCCGGUGGUAUGAGAUGGACCCGCGUCUGAUUAGCUAGUUGGUGGGGUAACGGCCUACCAAGGCAACGAUCAGUAGCCGACCUGAGAGGGUGACCGGCCACAUUGGGACUGAGACACGGCCCAAACUCCUACGGGAGGCAGCAGUGGGGAAUAUUGGACAAUGGUGGGAACACUGAUCCAGCCAUGCCGCGUGAAGGAAUACGGUCCUAUGGAUUUUAAACUUCUUUUGUAUGGGAGCAAUAAGUGUUACGUGUAACAUGAUGAGAGUACCAUACGAAUAAGCAUCGGCUAACUCCGUGCCAGCAGCCGCGGUAAUACGGAGGAUGCAAGCGUUAUCCGGAUUCAUUGGGUUUAAAGGGUGCGUAGGCUGCCCGGUAAGUCAGUGGUGAAAUUUGUCGGCUCAACCGACAGACUGCCGUUGAUACUGCCGGACUGGAAUACUGUUGCCGUGGGAGGAAUGUGUAAUGUAGCGGUGAAAUGCAUAGAUAUUACACAGAACACCGAUUGCGAAGGCAUCUCACGAAGCAGGCAUUGACGCUGAUGCACGAAAGUGCGGGGAUCAAACAGGAUUAGAUACCCUGGUAGUCCGCACAGUAAACGAUGAUAACUAGCUGUUGGCGAUACAAUGUCAGUGGCUAAGCGAAAGCGAUAAGUUAUCCACCUGGGGAGUACGUUCGCAAGAAUGAAACUCAAAGGAAUUGACGGGGGCCCGCACAAGCGGAGGAACAUGUGGUUUAAUUCGAUGAUACGCGAGGAACCUUACCCAGGCUCGAACGGUCGGUGACGUAACCAGAGAUGGUUAUUUCCUUCGGGACACCGAUCGAGGUGCUGCAUGGUUGUCGUCAGCUCGUGCCGUGAGGUGUCGGCUUAAGUGCCAUAACGAGCGCAACCCUUGUUGACAGUUGCCAUCAGGUGAUGCUGGGGACUCUGUCGAGACUGCCACCGUAAGGUGUGAGGAAGGGGGGGAUGACGUCAAAUCAGCACGGCCCUUACGUCUGGGGCGACACACGUGUUACAAUGGUGGGUACAGAGGGCAGCUACACAGCGAUGUGAUGCAAAUCUCGAAAACCCAUCUCAGUUCGGAUUGGAGUCUGCAACUCGACUCCAUGAAGUUGGAUUCGCUAGUAAUCGCGCAUCAGCCAUGGCGCGGUGAAUACGUUCCCGGGCCUUGCACACACCGCCCGUCAAG